GGUAUUGAAAAAAAGGUCUGUAUCUUUGUAUAUUCAGUUAACAUGGAGAAGCCACCUUUUAAAAAAGAUCAGUUCUGUAAAGCAUAAUGCCUACUACACAGACAUCAUUAUUCUACUUAAAAGUCUUUUUUUAAAAUUCCAAAUACUUGUGGUAGUAGAAAGCAAUAAAUAUUCUAAAAUGAGGGAUAUUGGUCCUUUUGUGACUGAGCUAUAUGAUAAACUAAGGAAAACUACAGAAGUUGUGUCUAUUAACUCUUUAAGAUACAUGAUAUAGCAAAUAAUCAUUUAUAUAACCUCAUAGAAAGUUGAGAGGAUUAAUCGAAUUGUUUCAAAAUUUUUAAGGAGCCAAAUUUAAAUUCUCAAUAGCCUAUGAGAUUUUUUUGUAACUCUUUUAGAUUCUUAUCUGAAGAAUGCGUAGAUGUAGUAAAACCAUUAAAUACAGUAGUAUCUGGUGGCCUUUCUGUGUGGAGGAGCUUGUUUGUCCAAGGUAUGAUCUACCAGUGAGAAGAUCAGUGCCAGGUCACAGAAAAAGCUAAUCAUUCUUAGUUUAACCCUGACCAGCUAGUCUUCCUCCAGGCAUCAGCUACCUGAUUUUAAAGAGGCCAUAUUAGAAAUGAAAAGCAGCAGUCUCUAUCAUAUGUUAAAUUCAAAGGCAUAGCUGCUUGUGAAGACCCUAUUAUGUUUUAUUUGCCUAUCUGAGAAAGAGAUCUGCCUACCUGUCUUUAGGAAAAAGCAAUGCUUUACGUAGCUUCAAUUAGUCCUGCAUCAGGUUAUUCUAAUGCUUCCUACUGCAAAAACCAAGCACAUAAGUCUCCAAUCCUAAAAGUCACUAGAAUAUUGAUAUAAGGAAUUCUGUAGGUGUCAGCAGUAUCUCAGUAUUCAAACCUCUGUUUAGGGUCCUGCAUGUACUGUCAAAUUGGCCUCCAAAGAGCAAGUGAUAGAGCAUUCAGGUGUUUUAUUGGAUUUCAGAAUUCAGAUUCAGAAUUAAGUACUCUUGGGAUAAAGGAAAUUAACGAGCUUUUGACAUUUCAAGAACUCAUUGAGAUUGUCAAAGGCUUCAGUAAGGAACUCUAACAAAUAGAUCCGGAAGUCAUAAGUGAGAAAGAAAACGAGCAUGUCUAGUGAAAUCUGUCCAGUGUACAUAACACUGCACAAAGAGCAUAUUUUAUUCAGACCAUUUGGAUUCAGAUGUACCCUAAAGACAACUACGCUAUAAUGGCUUGUCUCCCACUUCCUGGCCUCUAGCCCUACCCAUUGCCCAGGUGGACGUUAUGUUUUUAGUUUUUCCUUUGUGGGUGAGGGAAGAAGAGGACAUCAGGUGAAGUGUGCCAUUACUAUUUGAAAACUAGCUCUGCAGGAAGGGUUAAAUCAAAUCCUUUACAGGGUGACCUUCCUACAUCUCCUUAGAGCAACUGUAUUUCAAAAUAGGCCAAAGCUGAAGUCAUAGGAAUGAGACAUUAAUUGUAGGUUUUCAGGAAAGCUUCGGAGACACGGCAGGUACAGUCUCCCUAGAGCCUUUGAAAAUACAACAUGUAGGUCCUUCUCAGAUUAUGCUGAAACUCCAAAUCCUUGUUAAAGGUUUUCCUGGAAUCCUACAGUCUGGUUUGAUCAGUUUAUUAUUAAGUACUGAAUGACACAGAAGGGCACACAGGGAGGAGUUGUAUCACAUGAAGUAAAAUAAUUAUUUCCUUAAGGAGAAACUUAAUUCUAGGGUACUUACAAUAGCUGCCUUAUUGGUGGACGGGAGGCAUAGAUGAUAGAUUUGCAAAUGGUGGGUUUUUUCGUUUUUUUAUUUUGGAGUAUUUGAAAAGAUACAUCAAGCAAUAAUAAACUAGAUGUGCAAUAAUCUUGUCGAGUAGUAUGUGCCGGUUUUGGAAAGGUGAAAAGAAAAUUGUGACAUUAGGCUGCUUUUAUCAAGCUAAGCAUGGGCAUGCCUUUCCAAAGGGUAUAUUUGAUCCUACGGUUAAUUUUAACAUCGGGCUGCAAGCUUAACCUCAUCAGGAGUGGAAUUAGAUUUUACAGCGUUCCCCUUAUCCAAACUACAGCAUGCUUACUACUUUCUCCUUGCAUUUUCCACACCUCAGCCCUCUGGGACCAGCUACUGGCAAGUCAUUUUGUCCAUUUUCAUUGAUCUGGCCACAUAAGGAACAUCCUGUUUCUUUAAAUCCUCAAUGCUUAAAUUGCCAUGUAGAAAUCAACUCCCUAUCAAUUUUCUUCAUUUAAUCAUUGGCUUCUUGUCAUAUUUUCAUUUUUCUGCACUGGUUCCCAUGGCAACAAGUCUGUUGGCAGAGAAAGUAUGACUCUGCUUUUAGCCUUCUGCACAAGACAAAAUCCUUCUGGUGAUCCUCAAUCUUUCCACUCAGAGGAUUCUUAUUUGUCUUGAAUGUGGAAAAGGCAUCUGGUUCAGAAAAAAAGUUGAUUACAGUUGAUCCUCAUUAUUUGUGGGUGCUAUAUUUGCGCACUGGGACAACUCUUUUCCAAAGAAAGACCCAAAAAUUGUAUAAAUAAGUCCAAAUGAAGCAUGAUGGGAAAUCAGGGACUAAUUCUGCUUGGAGGACAGGGAAGGCUUUCAAAG
rnacentral:sRNA from 1 species